UUGUCUAUUGUUGUGACUUAGAUGAUGAUCAGAUCACAUUUUAUGACCAAUUUGCGCAGAAAUCCAUAUUCCAAAGGAUUCACAUACUUUUUCUUGCAACUGUAUAUAGGGCGAUAGUUCUUUACGUAUUCCAUAGGUUUAUCUGGCUUUUGUAUAGAAAUUAUAUUUGCAUAUAAUAAUUCUUUGGGUAUAUCUUUUUUCCUUAACUAUGUUGUUGAAAAGAUCUUUAAGAUGUAAUACCAGAACUUCUUUAAACUGUUGGUAAAACAAAUUAGAAUACCCAUCCGCCCUGGAGUUUUAUAUUUAUUUUUUUUAAAGAAUCAAUUGCCUUCCUAAUUUCAAUUUCUGAGAAAGGUUCAUUGAUAAAACUCAGUUGUUCAAUCGAAAGUUUUGUAAGACUUUUAUUUUGAAAAUAUAUUUCUGGAUUAUGUGGUUGCUUAGGUAAAUUAUAUAAGUUUUGAUAAAAAGAAUUGAAUGCUUUACCUAUUUUUUCUGGAGUUAAUUGAGGCCCUUCCUGUUAUAAUUUUCUGUAUUGACAUUCAUUUUUUUACCUUUAAUCUUCUUUGUAAGCAUUUUGUUUGCCCUAUUACCUCUCUAGUACCAUUUUAUUCUUAAGUACGCCAGUUUUUUUUUAAGUUUGUUGGAGUAGAAUUUCAUUAAUUUUAUUCUUUAAUAUUGCUAUUUUCCCACUUAAUUGUAUAGAUGGGUUGUUUUUAUUAGAUUUUGUUAAGUAAUAAAGAGAGAUGUAGAAUUCUGUUAAGGAAGCUUCCUUAUUUUUUUUUCUAAUUGAGCCCAUUUUAAUAAAAUGACCCCUCAAGACUGCCUUGUAUGUGCACCAAACUAUUGCGUCUGAGGUGCCUUUAUUUUUAUUAUCUUAAAAAAAAACGAUUAGUUAGAUCUUUUAUGAUUUCAAUAUCCUGAGCGUUUUUUAACAAAGAUUAAUUUAGUCUCCAGCUGUUCCUUAUCUUAUUAUCUGGCGUUAUAACAAGAUCUAAUAUUAAAGGGUUAUAAUCUGACCAGGUAACUUCUUGAAUCAGGACCUUCUUGAUUCUAUAGGAAAUCUCUACAGACCCUAAAAAUAAGUCUGAUCUAGAAUAUGUACAGUGGGCUUUGGAAAAGCAGGUAAAAUCUUUUUCUAGGGGAUGAUUAAUCCUCCAUAAAUCCAAUAAACCAUAUUUAUAUAUUAAACAUGACGAUUUGAUGUUUUCUUGCUUUUUUUAUCUUGAGUAACCCCUGUUAAUGAAAUUCUGUCAAACAUUCCAUCUAUGAUACAAUUGAAAUCCCCCCCUAUAAUCAUCUUGCCUUUUUUUUAAAUUUGAAAAAUAUUUUUUGUAUAAACUGAACAGCAUCAACAUUAGGUGCAUAGAUAUUGGCAAUAGUAAAUUCUUCAUUUUGUAUUUUACAUAUUCUUAAAAUAUACCUGCCAUUUUUAUCUAUAUCUUGAUAUGUAACUUGGAUAUCCAAAUAAUUUGUAGCUAAAAAGGCGAACCCACAUUUCUUUUUCCUCUCUAAUGAAGAGAAAAGUUAAAUAUAAAAACUUUUUGGGAUAAAGCGGUUUAUAUCUUGCUUUAACCAAUGAGUCUCUUGUAAUAUAACUUUUGCUCCCUCCUUUUUAAUGUAUUGAAAUACCAUGGCUCUUUUGUUUGGGUUAUUUAGUCCCUGCGCAUUUAAUGUCAUGAACUUGACCAUAGAGUAUCAUCCUGUAUCUCACGAUUAUCUCUCUCAGCAUUGUGCAAACAAAACCAAAAAUUUACAUAACAUAUACACCAAUUACAUUUGUAUAACCUCAUGAGAAUUAAACAUGAGGUUAUCCACAAUGACCGUAAAAAAAACCCCAUCUCCACUCCCUCUUGGUGGAGAUCAAAUAACACAACCCAAAACCCAGGGUAUGUGAACCAAACUCCAGAUUAAUAUGGAGUUAAUUGGGGAAAAGUUAAAGAAGACCCUCCUCGAAAGUAUCGCGGACUAAUCUAAUAAGCCUUAUUCUACAGUGGUCUCUAAACAGAUAAGGGAAAGGAUAGCCAUAUUUCUAUAUGAGAGGAAGAAUAUAUUUCCCCCUUCCCUUUAUCUCUUUCUUUCUCCUAAAAUCAUCUCCUCUUCUGCUAGUACCUCUUUCGUAAAAAAAAAAAAAAAAAAAAAUUUAAAUAAGUAGUAAUAUACAUAAAUUUUACAUUGUGGCUAUUUCAACUCCUCGUAUUAUAUUUUUAUAUUAGAACUAUCAUCACCAUGUGUCUAGAAAUAUGUCCAUUAUCAAAAAAGAAAAUGUAUAUCUUCUUGAUUUUUUAUAAACUUUUUGUGUUAGAAUGAGAAAAUUAAUUUUUCUCUUUGUU